UGGGGAAUAUUGCACAAUGGGCGAAAGCCUGAUGCAGCAACGCCGCGUGAGUGAUGAAGGUCUUCGGAUUGUAAAGCUCUGUCUUUUGGGACGAUAAUGACGGUACCAAAGGAGGAAGCCACGGCUAACUACGUGCCAGCAGCCGCGGUAAUACGUAGGUGGCGAGCGUUGUCCGGAUUUACUGGGCGUAAAGGGUGCGUAGGCGGAUGUUUAAGUGAGAUGUGAAAUACCCGGGCUUAACUUGGGUGCUGCAUUUCA
rnacentral:rRNA from 1 species